rnacentral:rRNA from 1 species
GUGAGAGUGGCGAACGGGUGAGUAAUGCGUGACCGACCUGCCCCAUACACCGGAAUAGCUCCUGGAAACGGGUGGUAAUGCCGGAUGCUCCGACAUGACGCAUGUCGUGUCGGGAAAGAUUCAUCGGUAUGGGAUGGGGUCGCGUCCUAUCAGCUUGAUGGCGGGGUAACGGCCCACCAUGGCUUCGACGGGUAGCCGGCCUGAGAGGCGACCGGCCACAUUGGGACUGAGAUACGGCCCAGACUCCUACGGGAGGCAGCAGUGGGGAAUAUUGCACAAUGGGCGCAAGCCUGAUGCAGCGACGCCGCGUGCGGGAUGACGGCCUUCGGGUUGUAAACCGCUUUUGACUGGGAGCAAGCCCUUCGGGGUGAGUGUACCUUUCGAAUAAGCACCGGCUAACUACGUGCCAGCAGCCGCGGUAAUACGUAGGGUGCAAGCGUUAUCCGGAAUUAUUGGGCGUAAAGGGCUCGUAGGCGGUUCGUCGCGUCCGGUGUGAAAGUCCAUCGCUUAACGGUGGAUCCGCGCCGGGUACGGGCGGGCUUGAGUGCGGUAGGGGAGACUGGAAUUCCCGGUGUAACGGUGGAAUGUGUAGAUAUCGGGAAGAACACCAAUGGCGAAGGCAGGUCUCUGGGCCGUCACUGACGCUGAGGAGCGAAAGCGUGGGGAGCGAACAGGAUUAGAUACCCUGGUAGUCCACGCCGUAAACGGUGGAUGCUGGAUGUGGGGACCAUUCCACGGUCUCCGUGUCGGAGCCAACGCGUUAAGCAUCCCGCCUGGGGAGUACGGCCGCAAGGCUAAAACUCAAAGAAAUUGACGGGGGCCCGCACAAGCGGCGGAGCAUGCGGAUUAAUUCGAUGCAACGCGAAGAACCUUACCUGGGCUUGACAUGUUCCCGACAGCCGUAGAGAUACGGUCUCCCUUCGGGGCGGGU